CCAAAAGCGGAGGAAAAGAAACCAACAGGGAUUGCCUUAGUAACGGCGAGUGAAGCGGCAAGAGCUCAAAUUUGAAAUCUAGCACUUUCAGUGUUCGAGUUGUAAUUUGAAGAAGGUAUCUUUGGAGUUGGCCCCUGUCUAUGUUCCUUGGAACAGGACGUCACAGAGGGUGAGAAUCCCGUGCGAUGGGGAGACCAAUUCUUUGUAAAGUUCCUUCGAAGAGUCGAGUUGUUUGGGAAUGCAGCUCUAAGUGGGUGGUAAAUUCCAUCUAAAGCUAAAUAUUGGCGAGAGACCGAUAGCGAACAAGUACAGUGAUGGAAAGAUGAAAAGAACUUUGAAAAGAGAGUGAAAAAGUACGUGAAAUUGUUGAAAGGGAAGGGCUUUUGAUCAGACUUGGUGUUUAACGAUCUCUUCUCCUUGUGGGAGGGGCUCUUGUUUUAUACUGGGCCAGCAUCGGUUUGGAUGGCAGGAUAAUGACAUUGGAACGUGGCUUCAUUCGUGAAGUGUUAUAGCCUUUGUUGAUACUGCCUAUCUAGACCGAGGACUGCGUCUUGACUAGGAUGCUGCGUGUGUGCGUG
rnacentral:rRNA from 2 species